CGAAAAGUUUGCACCAAAUAGCCGCCGCCCCAAAGGUCUUCCCCAAAUCGAACCCUCAUCCACACUGUCCUCUCCCACACCAACGCCGCCGCCCCCGCCCCCGUCCUCGUCCGCCUUAGAUCUCCACCGCCGACGACGACCCCCAUCGGUGUCGAUGGCGCCCGGUGCGUCGAGGUCGACGUCGCCUCCUUCCAUAGUCGUGCGAGGUCGAAUCCUCGGCUCCCUCCCUUCGACACCACCGACGGUGUGUCGAGGUCGAUCCGUCGAUGUCGCCCACCUCUCCCGCACCAGACCCCGCGGAGAAGUCCGAGCCUCCUCCAUUGGCCUGCGAGCGUGGCGAUGACAAGCGCUAGAGGAACCGUUGCUGCUUGGCUCCUCCGCUGUCUCAGGGUCGUCGCGCCACCACCAUGCUGUCGCGCUCCUAUUCUCCGCGGCCCUCCACGGCUCGGCGCUGACGAGGACCGAAGGGAUCCCCGCCACUGCUUCCUCCACCCAGCGGCAAGAGCUGUGCCCGCUCUUCACUAUGCCGGCACACCACGCUGCUCAGAUCCAUCAUGGUGGAAACCCGAUACAGGUGGCCUUCCUUCAGAUCUUUUUUGGUUUCUGUCAAAUUUGUCAGCUGCUCAGAGGAGGUGAGGCUGUUAUUCUUUUUUGUUUGAUGGGAGUUAUUCCCAACUUAUUGUUUGGUCGAUUUUGUUCCUGCUACCAUGGACAGCCAGCCACCAUGGCCUCUGAACUUUUGUCUGUUCGUGAGCUUGGAGAGCUGACAGUUCGCUUUUUUGUGCCUAUAUUUGGCCACAUUGUUUCUUAGCAAAUAUUCAUCAUCUAACAUUAUACAUAUGAUUCUCUGUUUUGCCACUGCAGAGGAAGUGAGUAGAAUACGUAGGGAAAAAGAAGAAGGAAACAACAGUCUUGCAAGCUAAUAAAGAAACAGUAGCUUGCUCACAAAAUUUCCAUGAGUGGUAACGCUUCUCUUCACACAUAUAAUCUGAUUUUCACCACUAAUAAUUAGAAACUACAGGAUUGUAGACACAGAGUCAUCACAUUCGUUAACAAGUGAUUUAUUUGAGAGGAACACAAGUGAAUUUUACCUUAGUUAUGCCAGUUCUAUUUUCUUUCAGAAAAUCCUUUUUAUGGAUUGAUGGUGGGACUUGGGAUUAAACAUAUACAUGUGUGGAAGCUUCUCUUUGCAUAAUUUUGUUACUGAUGCAUCUAUAUUUUUCCUCUUAACUUGGGGCUCUUUUAAAAAGGAAGCACCUCAUGUGUGAGAAUUGGUUGUAUUUACUAUUUUCUAUACAACCUGAAUGUACUAGAAGGAUCAACAUUCAUGAAACUAUAACCAGCCAUAGUAAUCUUGCUAUUGAUAUAUACACACUGAAAGUCUAAAGACAUGCUAGUAAAAGCUACUUUCUUUGAAAGCAGCAAUACCAUUUAUAUUCAAUGGGACUGCCAUUGCCGCACCUUUGAUUGCUUUUUAAUCUUGCUAUACAUAUAUACACACUGGAAGUCUGAAAAUAUGCUGGCAAAAGCUACUUGCUUUGAAAGCAGCAAUAAGGUUUAUAUUCAGCGGGACUGCAAUUGUGACACCUUAUAGCUACAACUCCUCUUGAAAUUGAAUUGUGAAAGGAUGUGUCAUAUUGGAAGUGAAACUGUGUGCAUGUAAGCUCUAAUCAAGCUCUUCCGGUGAAAUUCAACUUUUUUUUACGACAUAGUAACACAGUUAUAUUUGAUGGCCAUGAAGGCAUCAACACAAACACGUGUUUUUAAUUCACUCAUUUAUUGUAUGGUUUUGAAUCAUGUUAGACGCAUCCCAGUUUUGGAAUUGAACUGUCUAAACAUACAGACACCUAUUAUCAUGCUAGCACACAGUUUUGGCCGAACGACUCCACCGGCGACCACCAUCCUCCGUGGAACGCCUUCCCUCAUCGCGAGCUAGCGUACUCUCCGAGCAGGCCUCCUCCCGGCAAGCUUCACCGAGCACCAACCUGCGGGUCCACAUCCUCCACGUCCUCUGCAAUGAAGCAACAGAGCAUCUACCCUCCGGAACGUUCUUCCCCUGGAUCAAUAGCGCUGCCUCCUUUUCCCCUUUAUUUGUUAGGCAAUUUUAGUGAAACUGGUCAAAAAUUGACAAGAGUAGGAUGGAUAAAGCUAGAAGUACACAAGCAUAUAUUGAUGGGGUAAAGAAAUUCAUAAAUUUGGGAAGUGACCUGACCUGAGAGGCGGGGUGGCUUGGCGGCUGCCAGCGACUUCCGAGCAGGUGGGCAAGAGCAGCAAUCUUGACCUGUUCCGUCGGCGCAAGUAAUCGGUUCCUGGAUGCUUCCUUUCACCCCACAGUAUAUGCGUACAGUGCUGCAUUACCUUGUCAUUCGUGGAGACUCUGUACAAAUGUUUAUCUCAGUGCAAGAAAAAGAAAGAUUUGAACUGAGCAUGUUUUGCCUAUUUGCACAUGACAGAUUUUUGGCUUCGAGCUAGAACUCAGUGUUAAACUCUACUAUGUACAGUACAUAAUUUCAGCCUUGUUAUGGCGUAUAAAACUGAUCCCAGUAUUAGUUUUGGCUUGCUACACUGUUAGAGGGUAUUCUCUUCAAUGAAUUCUAUUAAACACAAGCUAAGAUGCAUGAGAUACAGAGAGAACUCAGUAACCAACGGUUAUUUCAUUAGUUUUUUCUUCUAUAUACAUAUGAUAUACACUAUAUAUACGUAGUUUUUAAAAUUGAUGUGGGCCUGCCCCUGCCUAUUUGCACAGAGUUUUGCCUAUUUGUACUGUUGUACUCUGUAUAGUACAGAGUUUUGCCUACUUGCACUACCGUAUUGUGUAUAGUACAGAGUUUUGCCUAUUUGUACACAGCUUUGACUAUUUGUUCAAAAUAGUACUGUAUAGAGUGUUGCCUAUUUGUAGAGUUUAACUCAGUGCAAAAAAAAAUUGAUUCGAACUCAGAGUACUGAAUUAACUCCAGAGAUGAUGCUAUACAUGUUUAACUCAGUUUUAGUCAUUGCUUUUGCAAGUCAAUUGUACAGGUUCCUGUUUUCCUUAUUUGCACAUGAAGAUAUUGUAUGUGUAUUUCAAACAAUUCCUGCUUGAUCUAAUGAUGUAACAUUGCUUGCAGUGAUGAUGAAGUGAUGCACAUUUAGAAGAGUUCUAUUUAUGCCGAGUUAAACUGCAGCAUGUCAAAAUCUUUAAUGUGCUAAUUUAAAAUCUGAAACGAGAGCUCCAUUUUGAGUUUCUUAUUUGUUGCAGGUUUCCCUACAGAAGUUGAUGGGGGUUUCGAAGAUCUUCAAGCUGCUGAAGAUUUGGGAGAUUCAGAAGAUCUUUAAGCUGCUGAAGAUAUGGAAGAGUGAUUAUGCUUUGUUUGUGGAACCUAUACACUUGCUCUGCUCAUUUUGCCGGUUGUUAGGCCACAAUAUGCUCAUUUUGGUUGUGUGGCACCCCAGAAACAUAUGUUCUUUUGUGGCACACAUGUAGAAACAUAUAUGUGUUGUACCUUUUGUGGCACAACCUGCUUAUAUAUAUAUGGUUGUUAUGUUAAUUUAUCGAAUUGACUUUAAGGUUUAGGAGUGAAGUGUAUGAAUGAGACAUGUUACUUUGAUUGAAGUGUAUGGAUGAGACAUGUUACUUU